AAUUAUUUUAAGUAAUUACUCAUUAAUUAUUAUCUUUGUUAUUUUCAUAGUAUAAAUUACUUAUUUCAAUUUCUCUCUUAAUAUAUAAAUUAUUUGUCUAUGAAAUUUUGGGAUUUUAAAGCUAUUUUAAAACUGACAACAACGUUACAUACGUUAUAUCUAUCAUAGUUUAAUGCUUCAAAUUAUGCAAAAUUUAUGUGGAUUAUAUAUUAAAAAGAAUAAAAUACUUACUGAAACAUUUAAAUAAUAAUAAAUUUAGUUAAAAUCAACAUAACACUCUAGACUAUCAACCUGUAGUUUACACUACCUUCACUUGUUGUAUGGUGAAGAAAUACACUUAUGACAACUUAUAUUCUUCUGUAUGAUAUAAAGUAUAUUAGUAAAAGAAAUUCAAAGCUAAAAACAACAAUUCAUAAUAUUUUCUCCCAAACAAACUAUGUAACUUUGAUCUUGUAUUGUACUUGGUUAUGCAAGGGUAAAGGCUCGCCCUAUCAGGACUAACUCUAUUCUUGGACAUAAUGCGGCAAGUGUAUGUUGUAUUGCUUAACCUAGAUCUCUUUUUGCUAGAGGUUACUCAAGGAUUUUGUGACCCUAACCCUACAUAAUAUGUUGGUAGUGAGAAAACAGAGCCUGGACAUUGAUUCAGUAAAAGGGGAGUUCAUGAAAAUUAUAAAGAAUGGCUAUGAAGGUUCUCCUGGGAGGAUGGAGAUGUCCAUCCUGUUAGCUUCUCAGCUGCCAAAUUGAUGUUAAGAAAAGGAAUUCGGUCUUCCAUAUUGGCUUGUUUGCAAUGUAUCACCAGUUCGAGUGAGGAUUAUAGUGGCUAGAUCUAUUUUAUUUUGAUUUAUUUGCUAUCUUGUUGUAUUAUAGACCUGUAUAUUCUGUUAUAUUGUAGGUAUAUUCUGUUAUAUUGUAGGUAUAUGAUAAAGCAAGUAUGUCAAACAAUGAGAAAUGUAAUAAAGAACAAAAUUAAACAUUGUUUCUUUUUAGUAAUGUAAUGAACAUCUCAGUCAUA